GCAUACACUAUAAUCUCAAUUCAUAGAACAGGGAUGACGCCACCGUUGUUUGACCCAAAUGUUUUAGGAAAUCAUCAAACUGUCCAUUGUUGUUUUUCAUAUAUGCACCUCCGUGAAUUUUUCGUAGAAUUCCAGGGGUUUAUAAUUAUCGAAAAGUAACGCGAUAUAAACAGUAAACAACAUUUCUAGAAAGCUUUUAGUUAGUGGCCAUCCUCGUUAUUAAUAGUAUCUUUGGAAAGUUUGUUUUUGUUUGUCGACUACAGUUAUUUCUGAAUAAAUAGCGAAGUCGAAGAGCGGAUUCAGUAGAAUAGCAGUUUAUAUCUGGUUAAACCAUUACUAAGAAAUACACCAUGAACUCUUUACAUCUCAAGUUAGCUUUCUUCAUAUUGACCUUCGUAUCGAUACAACUCUGUUCAAAUAAUCCACCUUUAACUGAUGCUGUUAGAUGGUGGAAGGUAUUUAGAAGAGUUCUGAGACCCACGUGUGCAGGUUGUGCUGGAAUUUGUGAAAGAAAAGUGCCCGGACGUUGUCGGUGUAGAGUCGAUCCUAUCUGUAUGAGGCGGUUCAGGGGACGUUAGUUAUUCUAUCACAAAUUUGACAUUUAAUUAUUUAUACAUUUUUACAGUGCAUAAUUUGUAUUUUUUUAUUAAAAAAAUUCUCAUACUGAAUUUUCAGUAUUA